rnacentral:piRNA from 1 species
UGACUGCUAGUGGAUCCAGACGGCCCC